ACGAACGGCUGGCGGCGUAGCCUAACACAUGCAAGUCGAACGGAACUGUUUUGAAAGAUUUCUUCGGAAUGAAUUUGAUUUAGUUUAGUGGCGACGGGUGAGUAACGCGUGAGUAACCUGCCUUCAAGAGGGGGAUAACAUUCUGAAAAGGAUGCUAAUACCGCAUGAUAUAUCGGAAUCACAUGAUUUUGAUAUCAAAGAUUUUAUCGCUUGAAGAUGGACUCGCGUCCGAUUAGCUAGUUGGUGAGGUAACAGCCCACCAAGGCGACGAUCGGUAGCCGGACUGAGAGGUUGAACGGCCACAUUGGGACUGAGACACGGCCCAGACUCCUACGGGAGGCAGCAGUGGGGAAUAUUGCACAAUGGGGGAAACCCUGAUGCAGCGACGCCGCGUGGAGGAAGAAGGUCUUCGGAUUGUAAACUCCUGUUGUUGAGGAAGAUAAUGACGGUACUCAACAAGGAAGUGACGGCUAACUACGUG
rnacentral:rRNA from 1 species